rnacentral:rRNA from 1 species
GACGAACGCUGGCGGCGUGCUUAACACAUGCAAGUCGAACGGAAAGGCCCUGCUUUUGUGGGGUGCUCGAGUGGCGAACGGGUGAGUAACACGUGAGUAACCUGCCCUUGACUUUGGGAUAACUUCAGGAAACUGGGGCUAAUACCGGAUAGGAGCUCCUGCUGCAUGGUGGGGGUUGGAAAGUUUCGGCGGUUGGGGAUGGACUCGCGGCUUAUCAGCUUGUUGGUGGGGUAGUGGCUUACCAAGGCUUUGACGGGUAGCCGGCCUGAGAGGGUGACCGGCCACAUGGGGACUGAGAUACGGCCCAGACUCCUACGGGAGGCAGCAGGGGGGAAUAUUGCACAAUGGGCGGAAGCCUGAUGCAGCAACGCCGCGUGCGGGAUGACGGCCUUCGGGUUGUAAACCGCUUUCGCCUGUGACGAAGCGUGAGUGACGGUAAUGGGUAAAGAAGCACCGGCUAACUACGU